rnacentral:lncRNA from 1 species
ACUGCAAUGGCUAAUAAGGUUUUGACUAUCACCAUCUUUAUUACAGGUGAAAAUGUCUCAUGAUAGUCCAACCCCUCCUGCUAUGUAUAUCAUUUUGCCACAAGCCUCGCUUUGUACCGUUCAACACUACCAUCAACUUUAUACUUUACCUUAUAUAUCCAUUUACACCUAAUACAUUUCUUAUUAGGCGGGAGAUCUAUUACAAUCCAAGUGUUAUUCAUCUCAAGAACAACAAUUUCAGCUUUCAUGGCUUUACACCUAUCAGGUGAGGCUAGUGCUUCUUGAUAUGUGUUAGGCUCAAUGUGUGUGGUUAUGUAAUUUAUGAAUGCUUUGUGGUUAUUUGAUUCUCCUGUCCAACUUUUGUGAUGGACAAAAUGAGGCCUGUUGGCAGAUAUAGUGCUCAAGGUAAGUGGGAGCUUUUUUAAUUUUUGAGGAUCUAUGUAUUGGUUGAUGAUUGUUCAUGGUGUGUCACAUGGUUCUUGUUCGAGUUUUUGAAAAUUUGGUGAGGAAAAUGUUUUUGACUCACGAGGUGAGGGAUAGUUUUCAUUAUCAUUUUUUAUUACUUCAUCAAUAGUGUUUGUAGGAGAAAGAAUGGUAUGGUAUUCUAUUUCAAAGUUGGUGGGUAUAGGUAAUGAUUCUAUGUUAGCAUUUUCAGAUGCACUGCCAUCUUUGUAAGGAAAAUGGUCUUCGUAAAACACUACAUUUCUUGAGAUAAAAAUUCUUUCAGAUUCAAGGUCAAGAAGCUUGUACCCUUUUAUUCCAAAAGGGUAUCCCAAAAAUAUGCACUUCUUGGCUCUUGGCUCAAACUUAGUCCUAUGAUUGACCAGGGUUAAAGUAUAAGCAAGGCAUCCAAAUACUUUAAGGUGUGAGUAGUUUGGCUUGUGUUUGAAUAGAAUCUCAAAAGGAGUUUUGUUUUCAAACAAAGGUGAGGGUGUUCUAUUUAUAAAAUAUACCGCAGUGAGAAUGCAAUCA